rnacentral:rRNA from 1 species
UCUCCUGGAAAACGGGUGGUAAUGCCGGAUGUUCCACAUGAGCGCAUGCGAGUGUGGGAAAGGCUUUUUGCGGCAUGGGAUGGGGUCGCGUCCUAUCAGCUUGUUGGUGGGGUAACGGCCUACCAAGGCGUUGACGGGUAGCCGGCCUGAGAGGGCGACCGGCCACAUUGGGACUGAGAUACGGCCCAGACUCCUACGGGAGGCAGCAGUGGGGAAUAUUGCACAAUGGGCGCAAGCCUGAUGCAGCGACGCCGCGUGCGGGAUGGAGGCCUUCGGGUUGUAAACCGCUUUUGUUCAAGGGCAAGGCACGGUCUUUGGCCGUGUUGAGUGGAUUGUUCGAAUAAGCACCGGCUAACUACGUGCCAGCAGCCGCGGUAAUACGUAGGGUGCAAGCGUUAUCCGGAUUUAUUGGGCGUAAAGGGCUCGUAGGCGGUUCGUCGCGUCCGGUGUGAAAGUCCAUCGCUUAACGGUGGAUCGCGCCGGGUACGGGCGGGCUUGAGUGCGGUAGGGGAGACUGGAAUUCCCGGUGUAACGGUGGAAUGUGUAGAUAU